UACGUAGGGGGCAAGCGUUGUCCGGAAUCAUUGGGCGUAAAGAGCGCGUAGGCGGCCUGGUAAGUUCGCUGUGAAAUCUCGAGGCUCAACUUCGAGCUGUCGGUGGAAACUGUCUGGCUAGAGUCCGGAAGAGGGGAAUGGAAUUCCUGGUGUAGCGGUGAAAUGCGCAGAUAUCAGGAAGAACACCCGUGGCGAAGGCGGUUCUCUGGGACGGUACUGACGCUGAGGCGCGAAAGCGUGGGGAGCGAACAGG
rnacentral:rRNA from 1 species